GCGCUAGCUUCGGUGGAGGCGCUGGUGGGAUACCGCCCUGACUGUAUUGAAAUUCUAACCUACGGGUCUUAUCGACCCGGGAGACAGUGUCAGGUGGGCAGUUUGACUGGGGCGGUCGCCUCCUAAAGUGUAACGGAGGCGCCCAAAGGUUCCCUCAGAAUGGUUGGAAAUCAUUCGUAGAGUGCAAAGGCAUAAGGGAGCUUGACUGCGAGACCUACAAGUCGAGCAGGGACGAAAGUCGGGCUUAGUGAUCCGGUGGUUCCGCAUGGAAGGGCCAUCGCUCAACGGAUAAAAGCUACCCCGGGGAUAACAGGCUUAUCUCCCCCAAGAGUCCACAUCGACGGGGAGGUUUGGCACCUCGAUGUCGGCUCAUCGCAUCCUGGGGCUGUAGUCGGUCCCAAGGGUUGGGCUGUUCGCCCAUUAAAGCGGUACGCGAGCUGGGUUCAGAACGUCGUGAGACAGUUCGGUCCCUAUCCGUCGUGGGCGUAGGAAAUUUGAGAGGAGCUGUCCUUAGUACGAGAGGACCGGGAUGGACGCACCGCUGGUGUACCAGUUGUUCUGCCAAGGGCAUAGCUGGGUAGCUAUGUGCGGAAGGGAUAAGUGCUGAAAGCAUCUAAGCAUGAAGCCCCCCUCAAGAUGAGAUUUCCCAU
rnacentral:rRNA from 1 species